AACAAACGCUGGCGGCGUGCCUAAUACAUGCAAGUCGAACGGGGAAAGCUUUCGGGUGAGUACUAGUGGCGCACGGGUGAGUAACGCGUGGAUAAUCUGCCUUAGAGUGGGGGAUAACUAGUCGAAAGAUUAGCUAAUACCGCAUAAGACCACACUAGCUGCGGCUAGAGGGGUUAAAGGUUUUUCGCUCAUAGAUGAGUCCGCGUGAGAUUAGCUAGUUGGUGGGGUAAUGGCCU
rnacentral:rRNA from 1 species